UACGUAGGGUGCAAGCGUUGUCCGGAAUUAUUGGGCGUAAAGAGCUCGUAGGCGGUCUGUCGCGUCUGCUGUGAAAACCUAGGGCUUAACUCUGGGCGUGCAGUGGGUACGGGCAGACUAGAGUGCGGGUAGGGGAGAUUGGAAUUCCUGGUGUAGCGGUGGAAUGCGCAGAUAUCAGGAGGAACACCAAUGGCGAAGGCAGAUCUCUGGGCCGUAACUGACGCUGAGGAGCGAAAGCAUGGGGGAGCGAACAGG
rnacentral:rRNA from 1 species